GUAGUCUUUGAAAACACAUAUACUAAAGUUGGAAUGAUAACAGUAAGAUUAGUGUGGUGACUGUGUGAGGAUUACUUGCAAAUUUGUGAAACAGUCCAGAUUUUU
ensembl:snRNA U6 U6 spliceosomal RNA